rnacentral:rRNA from 1 species
CUCCUUCGGGAGGGGAUUAGUGGCGAACGGGUGAGUAACACGUGGGCAAUCUGCCCUUCACUCUGGGACAAGCCCUGGAAACGGGGUCUAAUACCGGAUAACACUGCGGAUCGCAUGGUCUGCGGUUGAAAGCUCCGGCGGUGAAGGAUGAGCCCGCGGCCUAUCAGCUUGUUGGUGGGGUGAUGGCCUACCAAGGCGACGACGGGUAGCCGGCCUGAGAGGGCGACCGGCCACACUGGGACUGAGACACGGCCCAGACUCCUACGGGAGGCAGCAGUGGGGAAUAUUGCACAAUGGGCGAAAGCCUGAUGCAGCGACGCCGCGUGAGGGAUGACGGCCUUCGGGUUGUAAACCUCUUUCAGCAGGGAAGAAGCGAAAGUGACGGUACCUGCAGAAGAAGCGCCGGCUAACUACGUGCCAGCAGCCGCGGUAAUACGUAGGGCGCAAGCGUUGUCCGGAAUUAUUGGGCGUAAAGAGCUCGUAGGCGGCUUGUCACGUCGGAUGUGAAAGCCCGGGGCUUAACCCCGGGUCUGCAUUCGAUACGGGCAGGCUAGAGUGUGGUAGGGGAGAUCGGAAUUCCUGGUGUAGCGGUGAAAUGCGCAGAUAUCAGGAGGAACACCGGUGGCGAAGGCGGAUCUCUGGGCCAUUACUGACGCUGAGGAGCGAAAGCGUGGGGAGCGAACAGGAUUAGAUACCCUGGUAGUCCACGCCGUAAACGUUGGGAACUAGGUGUUGGCGAC